UCCACCUUGAUUGUGAGGCAGCCAGGUGGGUGAGCGUCCCUGCAGAAACUCCAACCUGCCGGCCCACUGAGGUGGAGCCCCGGGAGGUUCACACCCUUUGCAGCAGGGAGGAGCCUGGCCCCUCCUCUUCCUGUUUGGAACCUGGGAUUCAAAUGGCCUGGCAGGAAGUGCUCUAGCAGAGGGACUCUGGCCUUGCAAGAGUCCCUAUUUCCCCCUUUUUUUUUGCUUUUCACACAGUAAAACCCUGCUUUACUUCCCUUUGAGUCGUCUGUGAGCCUAAAUUUUUGUGGCUGUGGGAAGGACAAGAACCCCAUCUUUAGCUGAAAUAAGGAAAAGUUCCGCAACAUUUUUGGCACACACCCUGGGGGCUCCGGAAGUGAAAGUUCCCAGGAGAUGAAGACAUUGAAACUGCCAUCAUAAAAUUAAUAAAAGGUUCAAGAUUAGAAUUAUGGUAUUGGCCUGGAUUUUGUUAAGACAGAGACAUAGGAUUAUGUUGGCUCGGAGAAUGAUACCUCAAAGGCUGGUGCUGAGAGUUCUUAGAAGCUGCUUCAGAAUCAAGGAUCUCUCCAGAGAUCAACCACUGGAGAAAAGAUACUAGGAGUCAUCACCACAUCUAGACAGAGUGCUGCUCCAAGAGAUUAACUGAGGGAUUUCAUCUGCAUAAUAAGUCAACCUUUUUUCCGGGCGCAAUGGCUCACGCCUGUAAUCCUAGCACUUUCGGAGGCCCAGUUGUCUUCUCCUCAUAGUCCUCCACUAAAGCCUGAACAACAAGGAAUGCUGUCGGAACUGGACCUUGAUGAAGGAAAUACUUUCUGACUCAUUGGAAUUUGUUAUAGUCAAAUUUGCCUAUGUGAUAACUUAGGUCUUCACGAUGGCCCAGAGUAAGACGACGCAGGAGGACCCUUCUAGUCAUUUAAUUAUUGCUUGACCAGAACUGUGCCUUGUAAGGUGUUUCCAGACCUAAGAAUAACAGGAACAUGGAGGAGUGGCAUCUCCAGUGUAGCCACCCACCAAAGCCUCAUCCUGAACACUAUGGCCUAGUGGGUCACUUACAGGGAUGUAGCUGGCAUUGAUGUAGUCAGAGCAAGGAUCAUCAUCUACAUUGGAGAGCUUCACUCGCGUGGCAUCAUCUGGAAGGAGAGAUUUGCUGCUGAGUCUUGGAGUGACUUUUCUACAGUUUAUGUGAUGUGUGUGAUGUGCCUUAGCUCUGAUCCCCACAACAGCCACAGAUGGGAAGUGAUCUUAUCUCCAUUUUGCAGAUGAGGCUCAGGCAGGAUAACUAACUUGCCCCAUGUUGCAUAGGUGGCCUAUAACCAGUCAGACACAGGAGACAACAUGAAGCCCCAUCUGUGCUUCCCUUUCUGACAUUACCACAUUUGCCUGAUGGAGUGGCCAGCUCCCUUUCACUGCUGGAAUGAAUACAAUCCAGAAAACCUACCUUCUAUUGCUUUACCUAAUGGGGUAAGGAAAUUUAAGUAGAAAUUGCUAACCGAAGACUUUGCUAAGCAAACCCAGGUCUGCUUGAUGUCAGAGCCCUUGCUGUUAACCCCAUUUACUGCUUAGCCUCCAAAGAGAAGCAAUAGCAUCACAUGGGGAAAUGUCAACAGCAUAAGAGGACUUUCAUAAUCAGAAUUUAAACUGGCUAUUAUCCCUCUGGAGGGAAGUGCAGGAAUAUACAAGCUAUUUCUUAUUAAAGGCAUUCAGAGCUUGAGAUUGUCCAUAUCGAGCUAUAUUAUAUUUCUUUAGCCUCAUUUCAUUUUUGGAGAAAAAUGCAGAAAUGGCUAGAGGAAGACAGUAUUACAAAUUUUGACACAAAACUUACAGGGCAAUAUAUUGUUGUAUCGAUUUUUCCCUCUAUUCUCCGGCAAGAGUGCAAUGUCACAUGACUGGUUUCGGCCCACGUCUUUUAACUCCUGUUAGGUCAAAUAUGAGUUUGUAAGUGGAGAAUAUGAAAUAGAAUAAAGCAAAUCAUACAGUCCUGGAGAUAACAUAAUAACAUGAAAAUAUAUACACUAGCUAUUGUUUAUGAAUGCCUAGUACUCAACAUGCAUUAGCCCUGAUCCCCACAACAGCCCCACAAGGGAGGUGGUGGUCUCACUAUUUUACAGGUGAGGCUCAGUCAGGAUAACUGAUGUGCCCCAGGUCACCCAAGUGGCAAACCUGAGAAUCAGUUCCAAAAGCUACGUGCUUUUUGCGAAACCACGGCAUCUUCCAGCCAAGCAAAUGGCCAGGCUGAAUAUCUGACAGCUUUAGGUCUGCAUUUGAGAUUUGUUAAUUCUUCCUUACUAUCUGAUCCAGGUAGCCCUUGGUUUGCUGUGUUAUUCUGGAGCUCAAGCUGGCCUCUAAGAUUAGAUGGUAUAUUCUAUUCAGGGCAUAGUUUAGGCAUAAAAGAGUGCUCAGCUGAGAUUCUAA
rnacentral:lncRNA from 1 species